CGGGGCGUAGCUCAGUGGUAGAGCGCUCGCUUCGGGUGCGAGAGGUCGCAGGUUCAAGUCCUGUCGCCCCGA
rnacentral:tRNA from 1 species